GACGAACGCUGGCGGCGUGCCUAAUACAUGCAAGUCGAACGCAGUGGGGACGGGUGCGUAACACGUGGGUAACAGCCCAACAGAGGGGAUAACAGUUGGAAAAAGGUGCUAAACCGAGACUGGUGGCUGGACCAGCGGUGGAUUAGCGAGUUGGUGAGGUAACGGCUCACCAAGGCCACGAUGGAUAGCCGACCUGAGAGGUUGAUCGGCCACACUGUGACUGAGACACGGCCCAGACCCCUACGGGAGGCAGCAGUAGGGAAUCUUCGGCAAUGGACGAAAGUCUGACCGAGCAACGCCGCGUGGGUGAAGAAGGUUUUCGGAUCGUAAAACGCUGUUGUUAGAGAAGCGGUAUCUAACCAGAAAGCCACGGCUAACUACGUGCCAGCAGCCGCGGUAAUAC
rnacentral:rRNA from 1 species